AACGAACGCUGGCGGCAUGCCUAACACAUGCAAGUCGAACGAGACCUUCGGGUCUAGUGGCGCACGGGUGAGUAACGCGUGGGAACCUGCCCUUAGGUUCGGAAUAACUCCCCGAAAGGGGUGCUAAUACCGGGUAAUGUCUUCGGACCAAAGAUUUAUCGCCUUUGGAUGGGCCCGCGUUGGAUUAGCUAGUUGGUAGGGUAAAAGACUACCAAGGCGACGAUCCAUAGCUGGUCUGAGAGGAUGAUCAGCCACACUGGGACUGAGACACGGCCCAGACUCCUAGCGGAGGCAGCAGUGGGGAAUAUUGGACAAUGGGCGAAAGCCUGAUCCAGCAAUGCCGCGUGAGUGAUGAAGGCCUUAGGGUUGUAAAGCUCUUUUACCCGGGAUGAUAAUGACAGUACCGGGAGAAUAAGCUCCGGCUAACUCCGUG
rnacentral:rRNA from 1 species